GACGAACGCUGGCGGCGUGCUUAACACAUGCAAGUCGAACGAAGUGGCGAACGGGUGAGUAACGCGUAAUCAACCUGCCCUUCAGAGGGGGACAACACUUGGAAACGACUGCUAAUACCGCAUACUGAAGGAAGGGUUUGCGUCUGAUUAGCUAGUGGGAGGGGCAACGGCCCACCAAGGCGAUGAUCAGUAGCCGGUCUGAGAGGAUGAACGGCCACAUGGGGACUGAGACACGGCCCAGACUCCUACGGGAGGCAGCAGUGGGGAAUUUUGGACAAUGGGCGCAAGCCUGAUCCAGCCAUGCCGCGUGUCUGAAGAAGGCCUUCGGGUUGUAAAGGACUUUUGUCAGGGAAGCGGUACCUGAAGAAUAAGCACCGGCUAACUACGUGCCAGCAGCCGCGGUAAUUC
rnacentral:rRNA from 1 species